rnacentral:rRNA from 1 species
ACCCAAUAAAGAAUUUCAGUUCAACUUUAAAUUUACCUAAAGGAAUAACAACCUAAAUGUAAAUUUAAAAUAUAGCCUAAAGAGGGACAGCUCUUUAGGAAAGGAAACAACCUUUAGUAGAGAGUAAGAUAAAAACAUACUAACCAUAGUUGGCUUAAAAGCAGCCACCAAUAAAGAAAGCGUUCAAGCUCAACACUUAAAAACUAUAAUACCUAAAAUUUUAUCAAUCUCCUACAUUCAUAAUUGGGUUAAUCUAUUAACAAAUAGAAGAGAUACUGUUAGUAUGAGUAACAAGAAUAAUAUUCUCCAUGCACAAGCCUAUAACAACCCGGAUAACCAUUGUUAGUUAACACAAAUAAAGCAUGUUAAACUACCUAUAAAUAAACUUUUAAAAUAAUGUUAAUCCAACACAGGUGUGCUUUAAGGAAAGAUUAAAAGGAAUAAAAGGAACUCGGCAAACACGAAUCCCGCCUGUUUACCAAAAACAUAACCUCUAGCAUCACAAGUAUUAGAGGCAAUGCCUGCCCAGUGACUAAGUUCAACGGCCGCGGUAUCCUGACCGUGCAAAGGUAGCAUAAUCACUUGUUCCUUAAUUAGGGACUAGAAUGAAUGGCUAAACGAGGAUUCAACUGUCUCUUAUUCCCAAUCAGUGAAAUUGACCUUCCAGUGAAGAGGCUGGAAUAACCUAAUAAGACGAGAAGACCCUAUGGAGCUUUAAUCUAACUUAUUAGCUUAUAUCACAACUAACCUACUGGUUUAAAAACAUAAAAGCAUAAUAAGAAGAUUUCGGUUGGGGUGACCUCGGAGCAUAAAAAAUCCUCCGAAUGAUUAUAGCUAAGGCACACAAGCCAAAGCACCUAUAAUCUUAUUGACCCAAACAUAUUUGAUCAACGGACCAAGUUACCCUAGGGAUAACAGCGCAAUCCUAUUAGAGAGUCCAUAUCGACAAUUAGGGUUUACGACCUCGAUGUUGGAUCAGGACAUCCCAAUGGUGCAGAAGCUAUUAAAGGUUCGUUUGUUCAACGAUUAAAG